rnacentral:lncRNA from 1 species
GUAACUAUGAAAAGUAACUAGAAACGCCCCAUGGGAAGGAAGAUGGCGGACUGAUCGAAGUUAUGUAGAGCACCUCAAGAUAAAAACAUAAUAUUCAAUAUCGGUAAAGUUAGAAUAAAAUAUUAGCACUUCACAAUCUGGUGGGUGAUAACCUUUAAUCUGGAUAAUAACACUAAACAAAUCUUAAGACUAGAGACAUUUAUCUACAAAUAUUACAAAAACAAGCAACACCCAAACAUGACGGAGGGUAAGACAGGGGAACCCAUCUCAACAUGACGGAGGGUAAGACAGGGGAACCCGUCUCAACAUGACGGAGGGUAAGACAGGGGAACCCAUCUCAACACGACGGAGGGUAAGACAGGGGAACCCAUCUCAACAUGACGGGGGGUAAGACAGGGGAACCCAUCUCAACAUGACGGGGGGUAAGACAGGGGAACCCAUCUCAACAUGACGGAGAGUCAGACAGGGGAACCCGUCUCAACAUGACGGAGGGUAAGACAGGGGAACCCAUCUCAACAUGACGGAGGGUAAGACAGGGGAACCCAUCUCAACAUGACGGAGGGUAAGACAGGGGAACCCAUCUCAACAUGACGGGGAGUCAGACAGGGGAACCCAUCUCAACAUGACGGAGGGUAAGACAGGGGAACCCAUCUCAACAUGACGGAGGGUAAGACAGGGGAACCCAUCUCAACAUGACGGAGAGUAAGACAGGGGAACCCAUCUCAACAUGACGGAGGGUAAGACAGGGGAACCCGUCUCAACAUGACGGAGGGUAAGACAGGGGAACCCAUCUCAACAUGACGGAGGGUAAGACAGGGGAACCCAUCUCAACAUGACGGAGGGUAAGACAGGGGAACCCAUCUCAACAUGACGGGAAGUAAGACAGGGGAACCCAUCUCAACAUGACGGGGGGUAAGACAGGGGAACCCAUCUCAACAUGACGGAGGGUAAGACAGGGGAACCCAUCUCAACAUGACGGGGGGCAAGACAGGGGAACCCAUCUCAACAUGACGGGGACAGGGGAACCCAUCUCAACAUGACGGGGACAGGGGAACCCAUCUCAACAUGACGGGGACAGGGGAACCCAUCUCAACAUGACGGGGACAGGGGAACCCAUCUCAACAUGACGGGGACAGGGGAACCCAUCUCAACAUGACGGGGACAGGGGAACCCAUCUCAACAUGACGGGGACAGGGGAACCCA